GAUCUUCAACGAGGAAUUCCUAGUAAGCGCGAGUCAUCAGCUCGCGUUGACUACGUCCCUGCCCUUUGUACACACCGCCCGUCGCUCCUACCGAUUGAAUGGUCCGGUGAAGUUUUCGGAUCGCGGCGACGCCGGCGGUUCGCCGCCGGUGACGUUGUGAGAAGUUCAUUAAACCUUAUCAUUUAGAGGAAGGAGAAGUCGUAACAAGGUUUCCGUAGGUGAACCUGCGGAAGGAUCAUUG
rnacentral:rRNA from 2 species